rnacentral:rRNA from 1 species
GAUGAACGCUGGCGGCGUGCCUAAUACAUGCAAGUCGAGCGAACAGACGAGGAGCUUGCUCCUCUGACGUUAGCGGCGGACGGGUGAGUAACACGUGGAUAACCUACCUAUAAGACUGGGAUAACUUCGGGAAACCGGAGCUAAUACCGGAUAAUAUAUUGAACCGCAUGGUUCAAUAGUGAAAGACGGUUUUGCUGUCACUUAUAGAUGGAUCCGCGCCGCAUUAGCUAGUUGGUAAGGUAACGGCUUACCAAGGCGACGAUGCGUAGCCGACCUGAGAGAGUGAUCGGCCACACAGGAGCACGGACACGGUCCAGACCCCUACGGGAGGCAGCAGUAGGGAAUCUUCCGCAAGGGGCGAAAGCCUGACGGAGCAACGCCGCGGGAGUGAUGAAGGCCUUCGGAUCGUAAAACUCUGUUAUUAGGGAAGAACAAAUGUGUAAGUAACUAUGCACGUCUUGACGGUACCUAAGCAGAAAGCCACGGCUAACUACGU